rnacentral:rRNA from 1 species
UACGUAGGGUACGAGCGUUGUCCGGAAUUACUGGGCGUAAAGGGUGCGUAGGUGGUUUCUUAAGUCAGAGGUGAAAGGCUACGGCUCAACCGUAGUAAGCCUUUGAAACUGGGAAACUUGAGUGCAGGAGAGGAGAGUGGAAUUCCUAGUGUAGCGGUGAAAUGCGUAGAUAUUAGGAGGAACACCAGUUGCGAAGGCGGCUCUCUGGACUGUAACUGACACUGAGGCACGAAAGCGUGGGGAGCAAACAGGAUUAGAUACCCUGGUAGUCCCUGAG